rnacentral:rRNA from 2 species
CUGGUGUCAGCCGCCGCGGUAAUACCAGCACCCCGAGUGGUCGGGACGAUUAUUGGGCCUAAAGCAUCCGUAGCCGGUACUGCAAGUCUUCCGUUAAAUCCACCUGCUCAACAGUUGGGCUGCGGGGGAUAAUACAGCGCUAGGAGGCGGGAGAGGCAAGCGGUACUUAAUGGGUAGGGGUAAAAUCCACUGAUCCAUUGAAGACCACCAGUGGCGAAGGCGGCUUGCCAGAACGCGCUCGACGGUGAGGGAUGAAAGCUGGGGGAGCAAACCGGAUUAGAUACCCGGGUAGUCCCAGCUGUAAACGAUGCAGACUCGGUGAUGGGCUGGCCUUGUGCCAACCCAGUGCCGCAGGGAAGCCGUUAAGUCUGCCGCCUGGGGAGUACGGUCGCAAGACUGAAACUUAAAG